UGCUUACUUUUGCCGCAAGAACUUUUACGCCAUCAGCGUCAUGGUGGUAUGUGACCAAGCCUGCCGAUGACUGGCCUCGCAUUAGGGGCCCGUGCACGACACCUUUAUGUGGAAGACAUCCACCGUGAGCCACGACUGGGCAGUGGACGCCGUGGCCAGGUGAUAUUGCAUACUCGCUUCAACCUCGGCUGCUUAACCCCAU
rnacentral:lncRNA from 1 species